UGGCGGACGGGUGAGUAACGCGUGAGGAACCUGCCUUUCAGAGGGGGACAACAGUUGGAAACGACUGCUAAUACCGCAUGAAGCAGCGAGGGGACAUCCCCUUGCUGUCAAAGAUUUAUCGCUGAAAGAUGGCCUCGCGUCUGAUUAGCUAGUCGGUGGGGUAACGGCCCACCAAGGCGACGAUCAGUAGCCGACCUGAGAGGUUGACCGGCCACAUUGGGACUGAGAUACGGCCCAGACUCCUACGGGAGGCAGCAGUGGGGAAUAUUGGACAAUGGGGGAAACCCUGAUCCAGCGACGCCGCGUGAGUGAAGAAGUAUUUCGGUAUGUAAAGCUCUAUCAGCAGGGAAGAAAAUGACGGUACCUGACUAAGAAGCCCCGGCUAACUACGUGCCAGCAGCCGCGGUAAU
rnacentral:rRNA from 1 species